rnacentral:rRNA from 1 species
UACAGAGGGUGCAAGCGUUAAUCGGAAUUACUGGGCGUAAAGCGUGCGUAGACGGUUAUGUAAGUCAGAUGUGAAAGCUCCGGGCUCAACCUGGGAAUUGCAUUUGAGACUGCAUAGCUAGGGUGCGGAAGAGGGAAGCGGAAUUUCCGGUGUAGCGGUGAAAUGCGUAGAUAUCGGAAGGAACACCAGUGGCGAAAGCGGCUUCCUGGUCCAGCACCGACGUUCAGGCACGAAAGCGUGGGGAGCAAACAGG